rnacentral:rRNA from 1 species
UACAGGGGGUGCAAACGUUGCUCGGAAUUAUUGGGCGUAAAGUGCGCGUAGGCGGCUACUUAAGUCGGAUGUGAAAGCCCUUGGCUCAACUGAGGAAGUGCACCCGAAACUGAGUGGCUUGAGUACUAAAGAGGGUCGCGGAAUUCCCGGUGUAGAGGUGAAAUUCGUAGAUAUCGGGAGGAACACCGGUGGCGAAGGCGGCGACCUGGGUAGAUACUGACGCUGAGGCGCGAAAGCGUGGGGAGCAAACAGG